GACGAACGCUGGCGGCGUGCCUAAUACAUGCAAGUAGGACGCUGAAGAGAGGAGCUUGCUCUUCUUGGAUGAGUUGCGAACGGGUGAGUAACGCGUAGGUAACCUGCCUUGUAGCGGGGGAUAACUAUUGGAAACGAUAGCUAAUACCGCAUAACAAUGGAUGACACAUGUCAUUUAUUUGAAAGGGGCAUUUGCUCCACUACAAGAUGGACCUGCGUUGUAUUAGCUAGUAGGUGAGGUAAUGGCUCACCUAGGCGACGAUACAUAGCCGACCUGAGAGGGUGAUCGGCCACACUGGGACUGAGACACGGCCCAGACUCCUACGGGAGGCAGCAGUAGGGAAUCUUCGGCAAUGGGGGCAACCCUGACCGAGCAACGCCGCGUGAGUGAAGAAGGUUGUCGGAUCGUAAAGCUCUGUUGUAAGUCAAGAACGGGUGUGAGAGUGGAAAGUUCACACUGUGACGGUAGCUUACCAGAAAGGGACGGCUAACUACGUG
rnacentral:rRNA from 1 species